GCAGACUCCAGUCUCUGCACCGUCUCACACGGACAGCUUUUCUGUGCCGACUCGCCCUGCUGACUGACCACAACUAUGCAGACGGAUGAAGACUUUCCCUGACUGGGAAUCGGGAGGGAAAAAGUGAUGCUCAUCCACCUCCGUGGCAAGCUGAGCUUUCUGCUUCUCAGCUUUCUCCAGAUCCGACUGGAUUUUUUCCUUCUCCCGGAUUUCCCGGUCUACUCGCUCUCUGAGAAGAACAACAGGUUAGGACACAGGCAUCCAGGAUGUACUCAGCUGGAGUAAAACCGCUCCCAUCAUCAAGUGUUGAGAACAGACGCAUGCCAAUGGUGCUGGUCAGAGCUGAGAUUCUACGCCCGCCUUCAUCAAACGGCUGCAAGCAGAACCAAACCACGUCUUGGACCAACAAACACUACAGAGAUCUAAGUUAUAAUUAUUUAACAAACAACGGAGGCUUCUGUCUUAUAAAGGUUUAUAGUCUAUAGUCACAUCCUUACUUUUUUUAACAUGUUGUGAAAAUCAAAAUGUUACAGAGUAACCAAUAAUCAUAAGCAGUCACCUAAUUAGCAUGUGUGUGUAAUUAAGCCACAGCACCGAUGCUCUGUGAAGGCCUUAGCGGUUUGUUAGAGAACAUUAGUGAACAAACAGCAUCAUGAAAACAUAAGAACACACCAGACAGGUCAUGCAAAAAAGUUAACGUUAAGCAGAAAACUAACUCUGCACAUCACACUGAACACAUCACCACAACAGGUAAACAUGGUAGUUUGCAGCAUCACGCUGUCGGGAUGCGUGGAGCUAAAUGCAGGGUACUCUUGGAAGAAAUUGUGUUCUUGUCGUCCUUACUAUUGUAAUACUGUAUUAAGUUUUUUUUUUUUUAUCUCUUAAAGCACAGCCAGAGACUGGAACUGUGAAUUCACAAAGCUUCUAGAGGAACAUAGGAUAUACUCUACGUCCACUAUGUUUAAUUGGAUUGUCAAUGAUAAAAAAAGUAUAUAAAAGAGGCUGCAAGAUACUUUAGACAGGGCGAGAGCCAGAGUAUGUUAUAGAUUGGGGUGUCCAAAGUCCGGCCUGCGGACCAUUUGUAGCCCCUUAGAAUGACUCUUGUUGAUGCGAUUAAAGACUGUCGAUGCAGACGGAUAUUUACUUUUUUUGUUUGAGAAUGAGAUUUUCAUUGAUGCGAGGCCUUUUAAAAAAAAGUUUGAUCUUCUUAAAAAACAGAAGUUGUUAACUAUGACACAAAGCACUCAUCUUUUAUUAAAGUUUUUCCUUUCAUUUUAAAUAGAACAAACAUCCAGCAACUUUUACUCAGACUUGGGCGCACCUAUUACUUUAACUGGGUUAAAUAGAGCAAGCGACCCAUAUUCUGCUCUUGUUGCUGAGAAUAGACUAAAAUCUGGAAAUGGACUAAAGCAAUCAACCCAAAACUUUGUUUUAUUAAAAAGCAAAAAAGGUCAGAUCAUUUUUAAGCUUCAGAUCUACAAUAAUUUACAGGUCCGUUGUUUCUGAAAUUCUGAAUACCUUCUUCAUGAAAUAUUGCAUGUUACGUUCAUUGCUGAGCAGGUAAACAAAAUUACAAGACAAUUAUUUUUGUGUUUUCAUUUAAAAACAUAUUAAUGUAACUAUUCACUCAGUGGAGUUGAAUACAAAUGCACACCACACUUCACAUUUUUAUUUGGAUUUGUUUUUUUAAAUACAUAAUUGUUUUCUCCACAUUGCAAUUGUACAAUGCUUUGUGUUUCCCAGAAGACCUUUUAAAGUUUGUGGCUGCAAUGUGACAGUUUUAUUGGUAAUAAUACUUCUGCAUGAUGAAUAAACCUUGCAGCUUA